UGGGUUAGCCAUUGGUGGAAUACCAGGCAAUCCGAAACUCUCUUAACUGAUAUUCAAGAGAAAAGGAUUCUAGAAAGAUUCAUAGAAUUAGAAGAACUUUCUCUCUUGGACGAGAUGAUAAAAGGGAAACUAAAGACACAUGUACAAAAACCUCCUACAGGAAUACAAAAAAGUUUGCCCGUUGUUUGUCUCAGUUAA
rnacentral:rRNA from 1 species